rnacentral:rRNA from 1 species
AACGAACGCUGGCGGCAUGCCUAACACAUGCAAGUCGAACGAAGCCUUCGGGCUUAGUGGCGCACGGGUGCGUAACGCGUGGGAAUCUGCCCUUGGGUUCGGAAUAACAGUUUGAAAUGACUGCUAAUACCGAAUGAUGUCUUCGGACCAAAGAUUUAUCGCCCAAGGAUGAGCCCGCGUCGGAUUAGCUAGUUGGUGAGGUAAAGGCUCACCAAGGCGACGAUCCUUAGCUGGUCUGAGAGGAUGAUCAGCCACACUGGGACUGAGACACGGCCCAGACUCCUACGGGAGGCAGCAGUGGGGAAUAUUGGACAAUGGGCGAAAGCCUGAUCCAGCAAUGCCGCGUGAGUGAUGAAGGCCUUAGGGUUGUAAAGGCUCUUUUACCCGGGAUGAUAAUGACAGUACCGGGAGAAUAAGCCCCGGCUAACUCCGUGCCAGCAGCCGCGGUAAU